ACUCCUACGGGAGGCAGCAGUGAGGAAUAUUGGACAAUGGGCGAGGGCCUGAUCCAGCCAUGCCGCGUGCAGGAAGAAUGCCCUAUGGGUAGUAAACUGCUUUAUACGGGAAGAAAAGGGCACGUGUGCCCUGCUUGACGGUACCGUAAGAAUAAGGACCGGCUAACUCCGUGCCAGCAGCCGCGGUAAUACGGAGGGUCCGAGCGUUAUCCGGAAUUAUUGGGUUUAAAGGGUCCGUAGGCGGGCCGGUAAGUCAGGGUGAAAGAUCUGUAGCUCAACUAUAGAACUGCCUUUGAUACUGCCGGUCUUGAGUCACGGUGAAGUUGCCGGAAUAUGUGGUGUAGCGGUGAAAUGCAUAGAUAUCACAUAGAACACCGAUUGCGAAGGCAGGUGACUAACCGUGUACUGACGCUGAUGGACGAAAGCGUGGGGAGCGAACAGGAUUAGAUACCCUGGUAGGU
rnacentral:rRNA from 1 species